UCAAUUAUGAGCCUCUGGGACCACCAGCCGACAUGUGGAGUGUUGGAGUGAUCACCUACAUCCUGCUCAGUGGCUACUCGCCGUUCCAGGGAGAGAGUGAGAGCGAGACCCUGUCCAACAUUGUGC